rnacentral:rRNA from 1 species
AACAACGGCGGCGGCGGCGGGGACGACGAAGCAGGGGACGGCGGCGGCGGCGAGUGGGGCGGGCACCGGGGGGAGGCGCUGUUCGUGCUGGCGCAGGCGGGGCGGAAGCUCUCCAGCCUGCCCGCCGACCUCGCCGCGGCCGUCGACGGCGGUCGCGUCACGGCCGACAUCGUGCGGCGCUUCGCGGAGAUGGACCGCUCGCCGCUGCUCCGCUGGCUGCUGCGCUUCAGAGGGUUCCGGGAGCGCCUCCUCGCCGACGACCUCUUCCUCGCCAAGCUCGCCAUGGAGAUGGGCGUCGGCAUGAUCGCCAAGACCGCUGCGGAGUAUGAGAAGAGACGGGAGAACUUCGUCAAGGAGAUUGACAUCGUCAUCGCUGAUGUGGUCAUGGCAAUAGUUGCAGAUUUCAUGCUUGUCUAUCUUCCAGCACCAACUGUGUCUUUGCAGCCACCACUUGCGAGAAAUGCUGGACUUAUUACUAGUUUUUUCCACAAUUGCCCAGACAAUGCUUUCCAAAUUGCUUUGGCUGGAAGAUCAUUCUCGCUUCUGCAGAGGCUAGGAGCUAUUGUGAAAAAUGGUGCGAAGCUUUUCGCUGUUGGAACUGGUGCUUCUCUGGUUGGUACUGGUGUCACCAAUGCACUGAUCAAAGCAAGGAAGGCUGUUGACAAGGACCUCGACGACGAAGUUGACGAUAUUCCAGUGGUGUCAACUAGUAUUGCCUAUGGUAUAUAUAUGGCAGUUUCUAGUAAUCUCAGGUACCAGAUUUUGUCCGGUGUAAUCGAGCAGAGGAUGCUGGAGCCCGUAUUGCAUAACCACAAGCUGCUGCUGAGCGCACUCUGCUUCGCUGUUAGGACAGGGAACACAUUCUUGGGUUCUUUACUAUGGGUGGACUAUGCCAGGAUGGUGGGUGUUCAAAAGGCCGAGGAGGAGAUCUAA